UACAGAGGGAGCUAGCGUUGUUCGGAAUUACUGGGCGUAAAGCGCGCGUAGGCGGCUUUGUAAGUUAGAGGUGAAAGCCCGGGGCUCAACCCCGGAACUGCCUUUAAGACUGCAUCGCUUGAAUCCGGGAGAGGUGAGUGGAAUUCCGAGUGUAGAGGUGAAAUUCGUAGAUAUUCGGAAGAACACCAGUGGCGAAGGCGGCUCACUGGACCGGUAUUGACGCUGAGGUGCGAAAGCGUGGGGAGCAAACAGG
rnacentral:rRNA from 1 species